GUACACAGAAAUAUCCAUGAUUUUUCUUCAAUCAUCCUAAUCCAAGGCCAGCUCUUGCAGCUCAUCCAUAUGAAUUUCGCUGAAGUGGGUUGUCGAACAAAGUUUGUUCGACCCAAUAUAUUUCGACUUGUCAAGAAGUUGAUAGAAUAUUUAUCAAGAAGUUCCUCGGAUGCAUUUGGAUUCAUCUUCUUGUACAGGUAUGUAUAACUGAGAAAAAAGUCACGAGUCGAAUAUGGUGGAUUCUUUAAGAGGUUCACCCAAGCAGUUGUGUCGUGCACACAGGACGGUAGUUGACCAAGCUUCCUGCACUAUCUAAAAAUAAUUUUGCGAAGUCUUGAAACUAACAGCUUGCUAGUUGAUUUUCAUUCUUUGAGUACGAGUUUUUGUUGCUCCUUUUCUAUGUCUUAAUAGUGUUUCGAGUUGUUCUCUCCCUAAUUUCUUGUUUGGGAAGAGGGGGAGUCUACAUAGAAUCAUACAUAUUAGCUCAAUUAGGGACAACGUCAUUUCAUGUCUUCGCUUUACUUCACUAGUAAUAUCCUCCCGUAGAACAUUAGGGUUUUUCAGCUCAAACAAAUAUAUAAAUUGUGUUUUGUUCUUUCUCUAGAGUACUUCAAAGUUCAAACCAAGCUAAAAUAGAAUAUGCUAUGGUGUGAACUAACUUCCUUCAAUAUCCAUUUCCUGUGAGUUAAUUUAAUUUUAAGGGAAGAUUGUUUUGGAAGAAGUUGACUUUCUGCAUGCCAUGCGUUUUUUCGGAGAAGAUAAUUAACUUUCCGCAUUGCAUCUUAAACAACAACAUCAGGAUAUGUAACCCAAAAAAAAACUUAGGAGAAGCAUGUUAUCAUGAAGUUUGAAAACAAAACCAGCUAUUCUUCUGACUUUCUUAUCUGCUAAGAUACAUGAACUUUAAUUUUGAAUAUUUAAGCAAUAUUCCUAUAUAUAUAUAUAUAUAUAUAUAUAUAUAUAUAUAUAUAUAUAUAUAUCCUGAUAGCAGCAAAAUCAUCUGGCCACAACUUAUAGCAUCAAAACUAUUCUUUGCCGCUUGCAAUAUUAACAAAUUGAUUUCUAGUUCCUUUCUUAAAUAACUAGACACCUAUUAACAGGGAUGCAGGUCUAAAUGGCUCAGCACAACCCAUUUCUGAUAAUUAGAGUCCCAAUGACUCUUUCUUGUAUUGGAAGCAACGAUUCUUCUAAACGCAUGCAUCCCUAUAAGAUCAAAUUUAGAUGAUAGGUUGAUCAAUUAGGCAUUUUCCAAACUGAGGAUAUUCAACGGCCAUGUAUCUAAUGUUAAUUAUAAUUAGAUGAGGUGAAAAUGUAUAUCAAAUGAAAAAAAAAAAAAAAAACACUCUCUGCAAUUGUAUUGGAAACUAGCUGAUGUAUAACACGUCAACAUAUCUAAUUUCACAAGAUUGUGAUUCAAUUUCAAAAUGAUUAAUGAGGCUAUGUAGGCUGUAGAGAUUCAUUAGUAUUGACUCGCCAUCCAGAAAUUACAUUUUUAAAACAUGAAAUAGCUGUUUUUUUUUGUUCUUUUUUUCAGGCACCGAGUAAAUUAGUAUCACCAAAAAGCCAUUGGUGAAAAGGGAGUACAGAAGUACAGCUGCAGAAAUUAAUAGCAGAAGACUGUAAAAUCAAACAUAGAUUUCAUGAUGAAUCUUUCCUUGCGAGAUAUUUACCAUUCUUGGUGGACUACAUUUUUCCUCAUGAAAACGAGUGAAAAAUGAAUUUUACAAUCUUCAAACUGUUGCUGUGAAAACCGAAGCGGAAAAAUAAAAU
rnacentral:lncRNA from 1 species